rnacentral:lncRNA from 1 species
UCAGGCAUACAUAUGAAAAGAGAUACAACAACAAGUGACAUAUCCAACACUUCCAUAGACAAAAUACUUCCAUGUAACAUACACGUAACCUUCCCAGGCCCAGCAUAAUUGUAACAUAUUCCCCUAGAAAUUAUCCCCAGAAUACAAAUUCAAAUAAUGCUGUGAAAACCAACUUGCAAGGGCGAUUUUUCUUACAGACAUUAAGGGAAAAAGAAAAUUAUUCAAGCAAAGACAUCUUUUGACUUGAAAAUCCAAAAGAAAAAAGAAUAUUUAAAUGGCAUAUCUUGCAUAAUGAUGAACUACACGUUAUAAAAUCAGACUUCUGGUAAGAGGAGUUAAACCAUUACAUUUUAAGGCUAUGGAAAUUAUUUUACUUAAACGAGGAUUUUGACCGGACAACCUAAAGAUUUAGCGAGGGAGAUAGAAAGUUAAUCAGAUAAGAACCCAAAGAAAAAAAACAGUUUAUAAGUUAGUGAAGUCCUAUGUUAUGGGAAGGAGAUGAAAAACCACGUUCUCAAGCAUAAAGAAAACAUCAAUCUAUGAAUAAAGAAAGUAAAUGGAGAAAGGUAUUACUGAAGCUUUUUCUCAGCCAAAAUACAUGACUAGAAAACUACUGUGAGGCUAUUCCAGUUUCAUUAUCGUUAUUACCAAAUGCGGAUGGGUUGCUCAUUUUAUUUUUCAUGUUGUAGGGGAAAUAAAUCGAACAAAUCCAAGAAAAGAAAAGAAGUCACACUCAAUCCCAAAAAUAACAAAAUGCUAAACUUUUUUAAUAGUAAAGUUAACAAAGCGAACAUAUACUUUGAUAACCCAGGUAACACCAAAACUAUUUAUGAGCUUCGCAUAUGGUACAUACAAAAAAGUGCAAGGUGCUAACGGAUCAAUUUAAUAUCCCAAAUGGAGACAGAAAUCUACACUAUAUGAUUUUCACCUAAUGAAUUACUAAUCAAGACCUGCAGCUUAAAAAUUAAUAUAACAAGACAAAGUAUCAUCAGAUCCAAAAGGCGUAUGUACUGAAAUCGCCAAGCGUGAAGAGAAUUAUGGAAAAGAGAUAGUUUGACAUCGAACUAAUAACUUAAAGCCUCGCUAAACAACGACAAACAACAUUUCGAAAUAAAACAGCGAGGCCAUAUUCAAGCAUGUGAGUCAAAAAAACAAAUUAUAGGAAAAAGCACAGCUUGACAAUGAAUUAAAGCCUUAAUUGAAUUACA